rnacentral:rRNA from 1 species
GACGAACGCUGGCGGCGUGCUUAACACAUGCAAGUCGAACGGAAAGGCCCUGCUUUUGUGGGGUGCUCGAGUGGCGAACGGGUGAGUAACACGUGAGUAACCUGCCCUUGACUUUGGGAUAACUUCAGGAAACUGGGGCUAAUACCGGAUAGGAGCUCCUGCUGCAUGGUGGGGGUUGGAAAGUUUCGGCGGUUGGGGAUGGAUUCGCGGCUUAUCAGCUUGUUGGUGGGGUAGUGGCUUACCAAGGCUUUGACGGGUAGCCGGCCUGAGAGGGUGACCGGCCACAUUGGGACUGAGGUACGGCCCAGACUCCUACGGUAGGCAACAGUGGGAAAUAUUGCACAAUGAGCGGAGGCCUGAUGAAGCAGCGCCGCGUGCGGGAUGACGGCCUUCGGGGUGUAAACCGCUUUCGCCUGUGACGAAGCGUGAGUGACGGUAAUGGAUAAAGAAGCACCGGCUAACUACGUG